GGCGGCGUAGCGCAGUUGGUCAGAGCAUACGGUUCAUACCCGUAGUGUCGCUGGUUCGAGUCCAGCCGCCGCUACCA
rnacentral:tRNA from 1 species